rnacentral:rRNA from 1 species
CCUACGGGAGGCAGCAGUGAGGAAUAUUGGUCAAUGGACGAGAGUCUGAACCAGCCAAGUAGCGUGAAGGAUGACUGCCCUAUGGGUUGUAAACUUCUUUUAUAAAGGAAUAAAACGAGGCACGUGUGCCUUUUUGCAUGUACUUUAUGACUAAGGAUCGGCUAAAUCCGUGCCAGCAGCCGCGGUAAUACGGAGGAUCCGAGCGUUAUCCGGAUUUAUUGGGUUUAAAGGGAGCGUAGAUGGGUUGUUAAGUCAGUUGUGAAAGUUUGCGGCUCAACCGUAAAAUUGCAAUUGAUACUGGCAGUCUUGAGUGCAGUUGAGGUAGGCGGAAUUCGUGGUGUAGCGGUGAAAUGCUUAGAUAUCACGAAGAACCCCGAUUGCGAAGGCAGCUUACUAAACUGUGACUGACAUUGAUGCUCGAAAGUGUGGGGAUCAAACAGGAUUAGAUACCCGAGUAGUC